AUUGAACGCUGGCGGCAUGCCUUACACAUGCAAGUCGAACGGUAACAGGUCUUCGGAUGCUGACGAGUGGCGAACGGGUGAGUAAUACAUCGGAACGUGCCCGAUCGUGGGGGAUAACGAAGCGAAAGCUUUGCUAAUACCGCAUAAGAUCUACGGAUGAAAGCAGGGGACCGCAAGGCCUUGCGCGAACGGAGCGGCCGAUGGCAGAUUAGGUAGUUGGUGGGAUAAAAGCUUACCAAGCCGACGAUCUGUAGCUGGUCGGAGAGGACGACCAGCCACACUGGGACUGAGACACGGCCCAGACUCCUACGGGAGGCAGCAGUGGGGAAUUUUGGACAAUGGGCGCAAGCCUGAUCCAGCAAUGCCGCGUGCAGGAAGAAGGCCUUCGGGUUGUAAACUGCUUUUGUACGGAACGAAACGGUCCUGGUUAAUACCUGGGGCUAAUGACGGUACCGUAAGAAUAAGCACCGGCUAACUACGUGCCAGCCGCCGCCGUAACAC
rnacentral:rRNA from 1 species